rnacentral:rRNA from 1 species
UACGGGGGGGGCAAGCGUUGUUCGGAAUUACUGGGCGUAAAGGGUUCGUAGGUGGCCAACUAAGUCAGACGUGAAAUCCCUCAGCUCAACUGGGGAACUGCGUCUGAUACUGGUCGGCUUGAGUGCAGGAGAGGAACGCGGAAUUCCAGGUGUAGCGGUGAAAUGCGUAGAUAUCUGGAGGAACACCGGUGGCGAAGGCGGCAUCCUGGACCGGCACUGACGCUGAUGAGCGAAAAGCCAGGGGAGCAAACGGG